CUUUACCCAAGUAUUGUAUAUUCGUAGUUGUUCUCGCGAAGGGAAUGCUUUCGGGGCCGACUCUUUUCCUGGGGACCCCGUAGCAGGCCGGGCCCCUCCUGCUGCCCCUGGGAUACCUGGAGGGCGAGAGCGCCCCGGCGCCGCGGACCACUGGAACUCCCAGUUCCACCCGCAGCCCCGCGGUCCCGAGCGGCCGCCUCCGCUGCCUGCCACGGCGAUUCGGUGGCGCCCCCUGGUGGCCGUUACCGGUGUGGCGCUUCUGCUGCCUUUCAACGCCACGCGGGCAUCACCUUCCCGGCUAGACUGUUGAGUCACCUCCCCAUGAAGGAAGGCAAACGAUUUUCAACAUUUUGGAUUCAGCAAAAUACACCUCGGAAGAUGAAUAUGAAAAAGUCACCCUAAAGCCAAGCCGCCACUUGAAAAUGUAGCAGCUAUUUAUGUAUUCACUCCGAAUCGGCUGAUGCAACGGGUCUUAGGGGCCAGGCCGCCGCGACACAAACGCGAACCGAGACAGACAAGGGCCCCACUGUUCCCCUGCACAGUGUAUUCUAGUGAAAGGAGACACAGAUAAUCAGAUAAGUCAACCCUCACUUGGUGAUCCUGUAUACAGUUGAUCUUGACACACGUUCCACGUGCCCUUGAAAAAACUGUGUAUUUUGUGCAGUUUGGGGUUUUAAGUUCUACAAAUGUCGAUUAUGGCAGUUUCUCCAUCCAUGGCAGGACUGCUCUUAUCCAGACCUCGCAGCACCUCCCCGUGGAAGCUCCCCUCAGCUCACCCACGAGAGCCUCAGUCCUCUCGGGAACUAGUUCAUCAAGGCUCCCCUGUGCCUGCCAGCCUGGACCCAGCAUCACCACGAGUUGGAGAGGAACACCCUGAAGCUACCGGAUGUCCCCACCUCUCCUGGGACGCCACCCUCAGCCAGCAGCUUGCUCUUCCGGAAGCACCUCCCGAGGGCCUCAAUUCUUGGCAUCCCCUCUGCACUGCCCCCAGACAGGCUGCUGUGGAAUGAGGAUGAACCAGGCCCCCAGGAUCCCCACCAAGCCUGGAGGAACACGUGGUCCUGCCUUAUGCCCCGUCUGCCUGCAUCUCGGAUGGGACACAGAGAUCACGGCCACCAUGUUAGUUGGUGAUGCUUCCCCCAGCCAGACUCAGAGCCACCACCCCAGUGACAGCUCGGGAAUGUCCUCCUCACAUGCCUCGUUCAUGAGCAGUGGCAGGCCAUGGGGCAGAGGCCCUCUUGGAAGGUCCAGUGGGAGGGUGGGUGCCCUCCCCUCCUCAACAAGAACUUGGGCCAGUCUUCCGGUUGCUUCCUGGGCUUGAAGACCCAGGAACGCUCAGGUUCCCAGCCUGGGGUGGACAGUCGCCUCCCUGCCUUCAGCAAGUCUGAGCUCCUGGCCCCUAAGAACCUAAGCCACCAGCCCAGCUUGGGUUCAUGUUAUUUUGUUCCAUCACUGAGCGGCAGCCCUGAUGGUGGUUUGUGGGCAUUUGUCCCCAAGACGCUCCCCUGCCAUCUGCUGGAAAGCUGUCAGGUUGAAUAGACAGACUUGGAUAUGAUA